UACGGGAGGCAGCAGUGGGGAAUAUUGCACAAUGGGCGCAAGCCUGAUGCAGCCACGCCGCGUGUAUGAAGAAGGCCUUCGGGUUGUAAAGUACUUUCAGUCGUGAGGAAGGUGUUAAGGUUAAUAACCUUAGCAAUUGACGUUAGCGACAGAAGAAGCACCGGCUAACUCCGUGCCAGCAGCCGCGGUAAUACGGAGGGUGCGAGCGUUAAUCGGAAUUACUGGGCGUAAAGGGCACGCAGGCGGUUAAUUAAGUUGGAUGUGAAAUCCCCGGGCUUAACCUGGGAAUGGCAUUCAAGACUGGUUAGCUAGAGUCUUGUAGAGGGGGUUAGAAUUCCAUGUGUAGCGGUGAAAUGCGUAGAGAUGUGGAGGAAUACCGGUGGCGAAGGCGGCCCCUGGACAAAGACUGACGCUCAUGUGCGAAAGCGUGGGGAGCAAACGAGGGAUUAGAUACCCGU
rnacentral:rRNA from 1 species